rnacentral:rRNA from 1 species
UACGUAGGGUGCAAGCGUUAAUCGGAAUUACUGGGCGUAAAGCGUGCGCAGGCGGUUUUGUAAGUCAGAUGUGAAAUCCCCGGGCUUAACCUGGGAACUGCGUUUGAAACUACAAGGCUAGAGUGUGGCAGAGGGGGGUAGAAUUCCACGUGUAGCAGUGAAAUGCGUAGAGAUGUGGAGGAACACCGAUGGCGAAGGCAGCCCCCUGGGAUAACACUGACGCUCAUGCACGAAAGCGUGGGGAGCAAACAGG